GUGGUGGUGGUGGUGGUGGUGGUGGU
rnacentral:piRNA from 3 species